CUCAGAGUGAACGCUGGCGGCGUGCUUAACACAUGCAAGUCGAACGAGAACGGGUUAUAGUUUACUAUAACUGUCAGCUAAGUGGCGCACGGGUGAGUAAUGUAUAGUUAACCUGCCCUCGAGAAAGGAAUAACAGUUGGAAACGACUGCUAAUGCCCUAUAUGCCUAUAAGACAUAAGUCUGCUAGGGAAACGCUUUUGUGCUCGAGGAUGGGACUGUAUGGUAUCAGCUAGUUGGUGAGGUAAUGGCUCACCAAGGCAAUGACGCCUAACUGGUUUGAGAGGAUGAUCAGUCACACUGGAACUGAGACACGGUCCAGACUCCUACGGGAGGCAGCAGUGGGGAAUAUUGCACAAUGGAGGAAACUCUGAUGCAGCAACGCCGCGUGGAGGAUGACACUUUUCGGAGCGUAAACUCCUUUUAUAUAGGAAGAUAAUGACGGUACUAUAUGAAUAAGCACCGGCUAACUCCGU
rnacentral:rRNA from 1 species